AUUGAACGCUGGCGGAAUGCUUUACACAUGCAAGUCGAGCGGCAGCACGGGGGCAACCCUGGUGGCGAGCGGCGAACGGGUGAGUAACACAUCGGAACAUGCCCAGUCGUGGGGGAUAACACUUCGAAAGAAGUGCUAAUACCGCAUACGUCCUGAGGGAGAAAGCGGGGGAUCGCAAGACCUCGCGCGAUUGGAGUGGCCGAUGUCAGAUGAGCUAGUUGGUGGGGUAAAGGCCUACCAAGGCAACGAUCUGUAGCUGGUCUGAGAGGAUGAUCAGCCACACUGGGACUGAGACACGGCCCAGACUCCUACGGGAGGCAGCAGUGGGGAAUUUUGGGCAAUGGGGGCGACCCUGAUCCAGCCAUUCCGCGGGAGUGAAGAAGGCCUUCGGGUGGUAGAGCUCUGUCGGCAGGAGCGAAGCAGUGAGCUCUAACAUAGCUUGCUAAUGACGGUACCUGAAGAAGAAGCACCGGCUAACUACGUG
rnacentral:rRNA from 1 species